UCUUAUCGAGAGUGGUCGAGGGACUGGCCCGAUGACACCCGGCAACCGGCGUUUUUACGCGUAAGGUGCUAAAUCCAGCAGGAGAAAUCCUGAAAGAUGAGA
rnacentral:ncRNA from 1 species